GAUGAACGCUGGCGGCGUGCCUAAUACAUGCAAGUCGAGCGAACAGACGAGGAGCUUGCUCCUCUGACGUUAGCGGCGGACGGGUGAGUAACACGUGGAUAACCUACCUAUAAGACUGGGAUAACUUCGGGAAACCGGAGCUAAUACCGGAUAAUAUAUUGAACCGCAUGGUUCAAUAGUGAAAGACGGUUUUGCUGUCACUUAUAGAUGGAUCCGCGCCGCAUUAGCUAGUUGGUAAGGUAACGGCUUACCAAGGCAACGAUGCGUAGCCGACCUGAGAGGGUGAUCGGCCACACUGGAACUGAGACACGGUCCAGACUCCUACGGGAGGCAGCAGUAGGGAAUCUUCCGCAAUGGGCGAAAGCCUGACGGAGCAACGCCGCGUGAAUGAUGAAGGGCUUCGGAUCGUAAAACUCUGUUAUUAGGGAAGAACAAAUGUGUAAGUAACUAUGCACGUCUUGACGGUACCUAAUCAGAAAGCCACGGCUAACUACGUGC
rnacentral:rRNA from 1 species